ACUCUCUUAGCUAAGUGGUAAAGCUCAUCACUUCUACGAAAGUAGAUGAUGUGAUCACUGGUUCGAUUCCAGUAGAGAUAU